rnacentral:tRNA from 1 species
AAAGGGAGACCUAAUUCGGGUAUAAGACGAAAAAAUAGUAGUCGAAACCAAGAAUCAAUCCCAAAAGGUCGGAACGAGGUAUGUGGCUUUCAAACUAGGUUCUGGGUUCAAACAAGACCUGAAUCAGGAACAAGGGCUAUUAGCUCAGGUGGUUAGAGCGCACCCCUGAUAAGGGUGAGGUCCCUGGUUCGAGUCCAGGAUGGCCCACCUGUACAGGUGGCAAAAAGAAAGAAAAGAAGCGAGGAAUCAGCACCUUAUCUUACUGACAUAGUAAGAGAGAAUGCUGGCUCUGAGUAAAGAGUCCAGAGGAACCUUGAAAACUGCAUAGAGCUAGGUGAAAAAGCCAAAAAAGAAGACCGCAAG